rnacentral:misc_RNA from 1 species
CCCCGCCCCCGCUCCCCCUUGGCUGGCUGGCUGUGGAUGCGCCUGCGCUCCUCCCUCUUCCCUCCCAACCCCACCCGCGCCCCACCCAACCCCGCGCCGCCUCUCCUCCUUCCCCCACCGUGAGUGCCCUGCACGUGCUGCCUCCUCCGCCAUACCUCCGGCCGCCGCCAGACCUUCCGGAAGCGAAAGACGCCGCUUUUCCGUCCGGUUCUUCGGUGCUUCCUUUGGCAGCCGAGCGCGAAACGCGUCUCGGGAGCAUGGACCACGGCGGCGGGGGCGGGGCGCCGUCCAGCAGCAACAGUGGCGGGGCGGCCGCCGCUGGCGGCGGCCGCGGGGGCGACCACCACCCGUUCUUCUACGCCGCUGCUGCGGCGUCCAACUCCGGAGUGCCGCAGCAGCAGCAGCAGCAGCCGUCGCCGUUCACGGGCGCGCUCGCUAUCACGCCCGUCCCGGAGCAGCCCCAGCCGUCGCCGGCCGCGGGCGGCGACAAGAAGGCGCUCGUACCGGCAGCCCCCGCGGCGGCGGGGCCCGUGGUGGCCAAGCGGCCGUCCAAAGACCGGCACACAAAGGUGGACGGGCGGGGCCGGCGGAUUCGGAUGCCGGCGCUGUGCGCGGCGCGGGUGUUCCAGCUGACCCGCGAGCUCGGGCACAAGUCCGACGGCGAGACCAUCGAGUGGCUGCUGCAGCAGGCGGAGCCGGCCAUCCUGGCGGCCACCGGCACCGGCACCAUCCCGGCCAACUACUCCUCGCUGAACAUCUCCGUCCGCUCCGGCGCCGCCACCCCGGCCCGCGCCGCCGCGCCGUUCCCGGCGCUCGCGCUCCACCCGCACCACCACCAGCCGGGCCCCGCGCAGCAGCACGACGUGUCCGCCAUGAUGGCGGGGUACCACCACCACCACCACCUCCUCCCGUCCCCUCAGCAGCAGGACCCCAGCGCCGGCGGCGACGCCUACACGCGGAAGCGCUACCGCGAGGACUUGUUCAAGGAGGACGACGACCGCCAAGACCCUCGCGCGCCCAAGGCGCGCGAGCAGCAGCAGGCGGCUACGGCGCCGCCUUCCGCGGCAAUGUGGGCCGUGGCACCCAACGCCGCGGCCCCGUCCGGCGGGUUCUGGAUGCUGCCCGUGUCCGCGAGCUCGGCCGAGCAACCCAUGUGUACAUGGCCCUUCAGCGGCGGCGGCACGGGCACCGUGCAGGCGCCUCUGCAGUUCAUGUCCAGGGCCAGCUACCCCAGCGGUGCUGCAGGAGGAGCCAUAUCGGACACCAACCUUGGCAUGCUCGCCGCGCUGAACGCGUACAACCGCGGCGGCAGCGAGGAGCAGCAGCCCGAGGGGGAGCAGCAGCACGGCGGGGGCAACAUGCUCGCCGCGCUGAACGCGUACAACCGCGGCGGCAGCGAGGAGCAGCAGCCCGAGGGGGAGCAGCCGCACGGCGGGGGCAACGACGACGACGACGAGGACGGCGACGACAGCGCCGAAGAGAACAACGGCAACGACAGCUCACAGUAAGCUCGCAAGACGAUGAUGAGCACUGAGUGAGCAGGGAAUCCAGCCGCCACCAUGAUCGCGUCUUUCCGGUAGCAAAGCCACCCGCAUCGGACAGGUGUUGAGAGCAAAGAGUUGUGGUCCUGUUCGCCGGAGGAUCGCCCCGCGCUGCGCUGUCGCCGGAUUGGGGUUACGAUGAUUGGACGGAGGAAACGGCGUGCUAGCUUUUCCGCAGGAAGCAAGCAAAGCCAAGCCAAGCGAAUGCAGGAGCGAAACUUCUUGCUAGUUCACUAGUGUUCUUUUUUUUUUUGUUUGUUUGUUUUUGAAUUCGUUUCUGCUGAUUUUUUGUUGGAUUGUUGUAUGAAUGAUUGCGCUGUUGUGACGGGUGAUUAGUGGGUCCGGAUUAGGAGGAGCCCAAGGAAGGACAGGAGCCUGAGUUCGACAGGGAUCUGUGUGUACAGCUGAUGGACCGUCUGAGUUUUUUUUUGUUGGCUUCGUUGUUGAUUCCAUUCCAGUUUUUUGCUGGCGAAUUGUUACUAACAGUGCAAGAAUGUCCUUCCAUUCAAGUCGC